rnacentral:tRNA from 2 species
CGGGGCGUGGCGCAGUUUGGUAGCGCGUUUCCAUGGGGUGGAAAAGGUCGCACGUUCGAAUCGUGUCGCCCCGACCA